AAACCGCGGGUAAUACCGCAUGAGCUUGGUAGCUGGUGAGGUUAUCAAGCAAAGGAGGAAUCCACGCUUGGCGGGGCCUGCGGCCUAUCAGCUCGAUGGCGGGGUAACGGCCCACCAUGGCGAUGACGGGUAGCUGGUCUGAGAGGACGAUCAGCCACACGGGGACUGAGACACGGCCCCGACUCCUACGGGAGGCAGCAGCAAGGAAUUUUCCGCAAUGGGCGCAAGCCUGACGGAGCGACGCCGCGUGGGGGAAGACGCUUUUCGGAGUGUAAACCCCUUUUCUGGGGGAUGAAGACAGUGACAGUACCCCAGGAAGAAGGACCGGCUAACUACGUGCCAGCAGCCGCGGUAAGACGUAGGGUCCGAGCGUUGUCCGGAGUUACUGGGCGUAAAGGGCGCGUGGGCGGCUUCUUGCGUCACACGUGAAAGCCCCCGGCUCAACCGGGGAGGGUCGUGUGAAACGGGGGAGCUGGAGGCAGCGAGAGGCUGGUGGAAUUCCCGGAGUAGUGGUGAAAUGCGUAGAGAUCGGGAGGAACACCGGUGGCGAAGGCGGCCAGCUGGCGCUGACCUGACGCUGAGGCGCGAAGGCGUGGGGAGCGAACGGGAUUAGAUACCCCGGUAGUCCACGCAGUAAACGAUGUGGACUAGGUGUGGGGGGGGAGUUGACCCCCUCCGUGCCGGCGCGAACGCAGUAAGUCCACCGCCUGGGGAGUACGGCCGCAAGGCUAAAACUCAAAGGAAUUGACGGGGGCCCGCACAAGCAGCGGAGCGUGUGGUUUAAUUCGACGCAACGCGCA
rnacentral:rRNA from 1 species